rnacentral:rRNA from 1 species
UCGAGAAUCUUCCACAAUGGGCGAAAGCCUGAUGGAGCGACGUCGCGUGAUGGACGAAGUGCUUCGGCACGUAAACAUCUUUUUAUGUGGGAUGAAAUUAUUGACAGUACCACAUGAAUAAGGGGCUCCUAACUCUGUGCCAGCAGGAGCGGUAAUACAGAGGCCCCAAGCGUUAUCCGGAAUCACUGGGCGUAAAGGGUGUCGAGGCGGUUGUAUUAGUCGUUCGUAAAAUCUACGAGCUUAACUUGUAGGCGGCGAACGAAACGGUACGACUUGAGGUUUGGAGAGGUGCGUGGAACUCACGGUGUAGCGGUGAAAUGCGUAGAUAUCAAGAGGAACACCUGAGGUGAAGACGGGUUGCUGGGCUGACACUGACGCUGAGGCGCGAAAGCCAGGGGAGCAAACGGGAUUAGAUACCCUUGUAGUCCCUGAGCGGGCUGGCAAGGCGCAU